AGUAGACAGCUUUGCAGGCUGUUCUUGUGUUUGCAGUCCCUGUGUAUAGCCUUCUCAAAAUACAAACGGCAUAUUUUGAGGCGAGUGCUGACCUCACCUUGCAAAGCUCUCUGAAGUGUCUGAGCAGAGGGUCCACUCCUCCCCGGCAUACCUUUGCAGCAAUAUCCUGGCAGAUACUUUAUGUCAUGUUGCCAUGAACUGCAUUGUUCUGCCCCAAGCCCCAGGCUACUGGAAAAAAUGGUUGAAGACCUGAAAACUGUGACCCCUGUUGCCUAGCAACUGAGAAGCUCAGCCUCAACUCCGGGUGGGGGAGAUGAUGGAGAAAGGUACUGCAUUUUGAUAAAUUGAAGGUUUGUGGAACGCUGCAUUGAGCAAGUCUAUUGGUACCAUUUUCCAACAGCAUGUGCUCACUUCAUGUCUCUGUGCCACAUUUGGAAUGAAGAGAAUCUGAACUAAGAUGGGGUGAAAGUAGGAAAUCAUUCCCCCAUGUCAAGUGCAAGGGCUAUCCAGUUAGAGGCCAACACAGAUGUCUGAUCAAAGGUAAAAGUCUUUGUGUGCUUGCAACAAGGGAAGUUGUCUAAUAGGGUCUGAAGACAGAAAGUCCUGUGGUUGUGUCCUGCCCUUCUCCUGCCACACUGGGCCUGCCUUCAGCAGCAAUGUCCCUUGGUGGUUGUCCGCCCUCUGCCACCUGCCUUCAUUUACUCUUGCAGUGGGGUUUAUUUACUCUCACUAUCAUUUGGAUAUACAAAGAAAUUUUAAUUCCCUUAUUUUUCAGACAUCAACCUGACCUUCCUUAUCAGCACUUGGUAAUGAUGGUGCUGACAGGUAACACAGUACAAUCCAGUUAAACCCUUCAUCUGAUUCAAUCGUUUAACUUUUUUUUGAGGUUUAAUUUAGGAUUUUAUUAUAUUUUACCAGUCUUUUAGAUUCCACUCUGCUGCUUUCCAGUAUGGUGCAGAGGGAAUAUAGUUCCUGAGGAGAGGUGCCCAUGACUGCCAGGUUUUGGAGGAAGGGGUGGCCUAGCCUCAUAUUGGUUCUUGGGGCAUUCUGGCUGGCAUCUGCUGAGGGAUGUUUGGUGUGCCCCUAUCCCUGGUCAUUCUAUGGUAUCCACCCAUGACAACUGUGGCCGCUAAUCUCAUGGUCUAUUGUUUCUCAGACUUGGUCAGGGCCUGGCCAGCUUGCCCCAAACAUUUGCAAGGCUGGGGGCAAGGCUGCUAUGAUAUAUGAAUACCUAAAAGUUAGCAAUCAAGCUGACACACUUUUAAAUAUGUUCCAUUCCUUUACCUUGACAAAUAUAUCUUUAUAAUGAC
rnacentral:lncRNA from 1 species